GAAGAGGAACCGAAAAUCUUAAAGAGUAGGAA
ncrna:unclassified sequences DTF805b RNA